rnacentral:rRNA from 1 species
AUACGUAGGUGGCAAGCGUUGUCCGGAUUUACUGGGCGUAAAGGGAGCGUAGGCGGAUUUUUAAGUGGGAUGUGAAAUACCCGGGCUUAACCUGGGUGCUGCAUUCCAAACUGGAAGUCUAGAGUACAGGAGGGGAAAGUGGAAUUCCUAGUGUAGCGGUGAAAUGCGUAGAGAUUAGGAAGAACACCGGUGGCGAAGGCGACUUUCUGGACGAAAACUGACGCUGAGGCGCGAAAGCCAGGGGAGC